rnacentral:lncRNA from 1 species
UCGGAUGAGAUGCAAACAGCAAACCAGCUAUCAAGGUCCAGUACCCAUCCCCGAAGAGGAUCCUGGAGAAGUUUGUGAAAAGGCCUGUGACUGCAGCAUGCAACAGGAUGUUUACAAGAUGGUAACCCCAUGGGUCCAUCCCUCCGAUGGCAUGGUUGAUGCGGAAGGAGAGAGUGCAGAGAGGUCUGUAUGACUUGUGGCUCCCACUGUGAGUGAGAAGUGUUCCCCAAAAGUCAUUGUAGAAUAUAUGGGUCCAUGGUGUCUCUGGCAGAAGGUCCUGGUUUGUCUUGAUAGCUCGACUGUCAUCGUAGCAGAAGUCGGCGCCCAGCGUGUUGAGGUAGAGGGCGAGCCCCAGAGCGCUGCUCACCAACUCCGCGCUCAUCUCUCCGCCCGCCGCCGCGCUCGCACCGGGGCAGCUCCCCGGCCCGGCCUCCCGCGCCAGCCCCAAGGCGGCCGCCCUGCCGCCGCCGUCCGCCCCCUGGCUCCACGGGCGCCGCUCCGCGCUCCGCCGGCGGCUGCAGCCUGACGGCGUCCCCCGCUCCUCCGCCGCCCCCUAACCCAUGGCAGCGGGGCGAGCGGCGGCGAGAGCGCGGCUGAGCGGGGCGCAGCGGCGGCGGUGCCGGUGCCGCCCUCCUCCCCCAGCUCCCGGACACUCCUGCUAUCGGUGUCUCUGACGCCGCCACACCGCCCGGUCCCGUCCCGCGCCCCCCUCGCUGCCGAGCGGG